rnacentral:rRNA from 1 species
AUUGAACGCUGGCGGCAGGCCUAACACAUGCAAGUCGAGCGAGCGGCGGACGGGUGAGUAAUGUCUGGGAAACUGCCUGAUGGAGGGGGAUAACUACUGGAAACGGUAGCUAAUACCGCAUACCAUCAGAGGUGCCCAGAUGGGAUGAGCUAGUAGGUGGGGUAACGGCUUACCUAGGCGACGAUCCCUAGCGGGUCUGAGAGGAUGACCAGCCACACUGGAACUGAGACACAGUCCAGACUCCUGCGGUGGGCAGCAUUGGGAAAUAUUGCGCAAUGGACGCAAGCCUAAUGCAGCCAUGCCGAGUGUGUGAAGAAGGCCUUCGGGUUGUGAAGCACUUUCAGCGGGGAGGCGUUACCAGCAGAAGAAGCACCGGCUAACUCCGUGCCAGCAGCCGCGGUAAUAC